UGAAAGCAACUGAUGAAAAAAAAGAGUGAUAAUUUGAUUAUAUUUCAAUUAGCACCAUCCACUCUGAUGUUAUAUAUGAUAAAUGAAGACAUUUCUAUUUAAGGCAAAAUCCCCAAUUAUUUCCAAGGAAAAUUAAAUAUUCUUUUUGCAAUAGGCUUUGGUUUUUUUAUUUUUUAUCGUUGUUGUGUUCAGAUUCAUCGUGAAAUCUACAAUAUGCUUUCAACAUUUAUAAUAUUCACACGUAGUACAAAGUAACAUAUGGUAUUAGACAUAAUUACUACUUAGUCAAAAGAAAUGGUGAUAUAAAAUUAACCUUAAAGUUCCCAGAUGAUUAAAAAAAUGGAAUAUAACAUAUAUGAUUACUUAUCUUCUAAAGAGUAAAGAUUAAAAAUAGAUGUUCACAAUAUUGUAUGACUAUGAGAAGAUUUGCGUUAUCCGAAUAAAAUAAGAUUCAUGCAAAAAUAGGUCAAUAAAACAUAAAGAAACUCAAGAGAAGAUUUGGUACUGCUGCUUUUUCUUUCUUCUUUUUGUUUCCCAAAUCACCCGCCUUGCCAUGCCCUUGAAUCUGAGGCUAAAUAAUGAAGAUUUACGAGGCAGUCAAAGGUAUGCAGCAAUUGAUUUUUCUUCCAAGAUUCUUCAUUGCUUUGUUUUUGCCCAUUCCUCUUCCUUCUUUUUCUUACAUGAGAUUUGUAUCCGUUUUUAAGACAUGGUUUUGUUCUUUGUUUUCAAAAUGUGACAAGGCUUUCUCACAUGUCAUUAUCUUCGGCAGAUUCUCUCACCACAGGAUCAAAACUUCAUUUUACCUCAGUGUUUGUACCAAAUAUUAUAUAUAUAACCAUUAGAUGUAGACCUCUCGCAUACGUUUAUCAUCCCUUGGAAAAAGGAAUUUAAUUACACUAUUCGUCAAAAAAAGAAAAAGGAAUUUACACUAAUUUGUUUUUCUUGUUUAUAUAUAUAUAUAUAUAUAUAUUAUUUUUUUUGUAUUUUGGGGAUGAGAUAAGAGAACCAAAUGGAAUAUUCAUUGGAUGGUGAUGCUUUCAUCGCUUCAUCUAUUAUAUAGAUGAGUUUAGUUAAAUUAUCUAUUACAAAAAUUUCAAAUUUAAACUUGUCUAACAACCAUUAAAGAGGUAAUGAGCAUCAUCAUUCACCACCACUUAAGAAUGGUAAGCAAAAAUAUUUCCAAGAUUUGCUAGUAAUUUAACAAGUAAAUAAUCCAUUCAGGAGAAAUUCUUAUAUACAUUUACCCUAGUGCAUUAAGAUUUUGAAUCAGGGUCUCUCCCUCUCACCCACAAAGUGUAGGAUCCAUCAUAAAGAUUAAUCAUUUUCUUACGUUUGAAGUGCACAAAACUCUUUCACUAAACAUGCCGUAUAAACUCAUAUUCAUAAUCCUCCUAACGUGUGCACCUAAAUCUCACAAAUAUUGAAAUGCUUAUGAAUAUUAACAUUGUUGUGCAGUGAUGAUGUUAGAUAUUUUACUCCUUGAUCAUGAUCAUCAGACCGUUUUACAAACUAAUUAUUACUGACAAUAGUUAAAAUAUCACUCACGAUAGUUGUUGAUAAAAGAAAAAAACAAGAUGUAUAAAAGUAGAUAUAUAUCUUUGUAUAUAUAAUAUAUGUACAUAGUGUAUGUAUAUAUUAAUAUACACAUGAACUUACUAUAUGUACUUGAGGGGAUAUUCCAUACUAUAUGUACAUAGUGUUUGUAUUAAUCAUACACAUGAGAAUUAAUGUACAUGGAGGAAUAUCAGAACUUUCUGUUGGUUUUUUCUUUACUUGUUACUUUUACUCUAACUAUGCAUAUUGGAAACAUGAAAUUCUUUUGACAAUUAUUAUUACUUCACGUCCAUGAAUAAUUGGAUAAUUAUUCUGGAUUAUCUUUGCGAUAUUGGUCUUCUUUCUCUUUCUCUCCCCAGUUUUCCACAGUUUCCCUUUGGGUUUACGAGAAAAAAUUCGGUUGUUCCUUUUGUACAUUCCCAGAUCCGAUUGUUCAUUAUUUCUGCAACUGUAUCCUGAUUGGUAAGUAUGUAUACCUUCCACGAGAUUUAUGUCAAGAACUAGGGCAUGGUCCAGAAUACGUACUUUAUAUAUAGGACCACUGUCUUUAGGAUUUUGAACAGAAAUAAAUCAUUUGACCUAUUCUAGUAAUCUUUUUGUAGAAACAGCAACCAUUGAAGAGUUUACGUACUCCCUAUAAUUAGUGUGGCACUAAUCAUUCCUCAUAAUUCAUAAUGUGCAUGCCAAUAUUAUAGAGUGGAGGACUUGGCUGUACUUUAAUCACAUUUUAAAGGUCUGCAGUAAUUGACUUUGGUUAACGGAUAUACUAUGAUUUAAGACGUCCUUUUGAUUAUUAACCAUACCCUAUCUAAAUCAGAUGACAUACUUCAUCUCUACAUCUUACGUGCUACAAAAGUGUGUGUGUAUAUAUAUAUAUGUACAUUUGUUAGGGUGGCAUUUAAAUUUUUUACUAAAUUAGAAAGAAAAGAAAACGAAAACUCAGACAACAAAAUAUCAAUAACUCAUUGAAGAAAAAAAAAUAUAUCUUCUAUCCGCUAUUUCACUUGUAAUACUCUAAUUUAUUCAAAGUUAUAAAAUUCUUUUAGAGCACUUCUCCCUAGGGCCGGCCCAUGCCCAGUGCUAGCAGGGCAAUCGUCUUGGACCCAAAAUAAUUUGGGGCACCAAAAUUAUUAGGGUAGUAUAUUUAUAUAUGUUUUCAUAAAAAUUUGGUUCAAUGACAAAGAAAUUUAACUAGAGUUGAUGGUUUUGUUGUUUGAAAUUAAUGAUGAGGUCUUGAGUUCAAAACACCAUGUGUGCUUAUUUACUUUUCAAUUUUUACAAAUUUAUUUUCAUAAGAGUAUAUAUAUAUAUAUAAUUGGGCUAAAUGAUUAAGAAGUUUUGUUUGUACCAUAUUUAGGGCCUCGGUAUUUAGAUUUCGUAUAAAUACUCGGGGGACUCAAAUGUAAUUAUGUAAUAAAUGAAGGGACAAAUAUGUAAUAAGUGAGGAGCCCUUAUUCUAUAAAAAGACUCCUCGCUCUCCUCAUUAGGAGAGGUCAAGGUUUAGGCCAUGGGAAGAGAGAAAACAUCUCAGAGAGGGCAAACACAGAAAAUAGGCUAGAGAGC
rnacentral:lncRNA from 1 species